GAAAGCCGGGUGCGGGAAAUCCGCAUGCCCGGUUUGACGAGCGGCGACUGGAAACGGAGCCAUGGUCCGAAAU
rnacentral:sRNA from 1 species